rnacentral:rRNA from 1 species
GACGGAGGGGCUAGCGUUGUUCGGAAUGACUGGGCGUAAAGGGCGCGUAGGCGGUUUUUUAAGUGAGGCGUGAAAGCCCUGGGCUUAAACCUAGGAGGUGCGUUUCAUACUGGAAGACUUGAGUGCGAGAGAGGAAAGUGGAAUUCCUAGUGUAGAGGUGAAAUUCGUAGAUAUUAGGAAGAACACCAGUGGCGAAGGCGACUUCUGGCUCGCAACUGACGCUGAGGCGCGAAAGCGUGGGGAGCAAACAGG